GCCGGGCGUGGUGGCGCACGCCUGUAAUCCCAGCUGCUUGGGAAGCUGAGACACGAGAAUCGCUUGAACCCGGGAGGCGGAGGUUGCAGUCGGCUGACAUGGCACCACUGCACUCCAGCCUGGGUGACAGAGCGAGACUCUGUCUUAU
rnacentral:SRP_RNA from 1 species